AACGAACGCUGGCGGCAGGCCUAACACAUGCAAGUCGAGCGAGGACUUCGGUCCUAGCGGCGGACGGGUGAGUAACGCGUGGGAACGUGCCCUUUGCUUCGGAAUAGCCCUGGGAAACUGGGAGUAAUACCGGAUGAGCCCUUUGGGGGAAAGAUUUAUCGGCGAAGGAUCGGCCCGCGUUGGAUUAGGUAGUUGGUGGGGUAAUGGCCUACCAAGCCGACGAUCCAUAGCUGGUUUGAGAGGAUGAUCAGCCACACUGGGACUGAGACACGGCCCAGACUCCUACGGGAGGCGGCAGUGGGGAAUCUUAGACAAUGGGGGAAACCCUGAUCUAGCCAUGCCGCGUGAGCGAUGAAGGCCUUAGGGUUGUAAAGCUCUUUCAGCUGGGAAGAUAAUGACGGUACCAGCAGAAGAAGCCCCGGCUAACUCCGUG
rnacentral:rRNA from 1 species